AUCUCUGUAGAGUCUGCAUAUCAAUAAGCGGAGGAAAAGAAACUAACUAGGAUUCCCUCAGUAACGGCGAGUGAAGCGGGAAGAGCUCAAAUUUGAAAUCUUCAAGGUUCUACCUUGACGAAUUGUAGUUUAAAGAAGUGUUUUCUGUUGGAGUUUUGGUAAAAGUUCCUUGGAAUAGGGACAUCAUAGAGGGUGAGAAUCCCGUAUUUGACAUUAUUUCUAGCUUUGUGAUACACUUUCAAAGAGUCGGAUUGUUUGGGAAUGCAGUCCAAAAUGGGUGGUAAAUUUCAUCUAAAGCUAAAUACUGGCGAGAGACCGAUAGCGAACAAGUACCGUGAGGGAAAGACGAAAAGAACUUUGAAAAGAGAGUUAAACAGUACGUGAAAUUGUCAAAAGGGAAGCGUUUGACACCAGUGUUGUCUUCUCGAAAAUCAAUUAAGAAUGGCAUGAUUUUGUGUUGUAUUGACCUUAUCAGCUUUCUUCACUCUUUUCGAUGUCUUUUUUAAUGCACUUUUCGGUUAACAAGUCAACAUCAAUUUCUUUUGUUGUAAAAGAGUCAUUCGGAAGGUGGCUUUCUUUUCGGAGAAAGCGUUUAUAGCCUUAUGCCUCUACAAUCGGAGAGAUUGAGGUCUGCAGCGUAGAUCCUUCGGGGUUAGAUACAUUUGUGCUAAGUUAUAGCCUUUCAUAGACAACUUGUUGACUAUGAUCAGUCAUGUAGCUUACUCGCUUAUGCUAUUUUACCUACGCUUAGGAUGUUGAAGAUGUAGCACAUCAU
rnacentral:rRNA from 1 species